GAUGAACGCUGGCGGCGUGCCUAAUACAUGCAAGUCGAGCGAACGGACGAGAAGCUUGCUUCUCUGAUGUUAGCGGCGGACGGGUGAGUAACACGUGGAUAACCUACCUAUAAGACUGGGAUAACUUCGGGAAACCGGUGCUAAUACCGGAUAAUAUUUUGAACCGCAUGGUUCAAAAGUGAAAGACGGUCUUGCUGUCACUUAUAGAUGGAUCCGCGCUGCAUUAGCUAGUUGGUAAGGUAACGGCUUACCAAGGCAACGAUGCAUAGCCGACCUGAGAGGGUGAUCGGCCACACUGGAACUGAGACACGGUCCAGACUCCUACGGGAGGCAGCUGUAGGGAAUCUUCCGCAAUGGGCGAAAGCCUGACGGAGCAACGCCGCGUGAGUGAUGAAGGUCUUCGGAUCGUAAAACUCUGUUAUUAGGGAAGAACAGAUGUGUAAGUAACUGUGCACAUCUUGACGGUACCUAAUCAGAAAGCCACGGCUAACUACGUG
rnacentral:rRNA from 1 species